UACGAAGGGAGCUAGCGUUGUUCGGAAUCACUGGGCGUAAAGCGCACGUAGGCGGAUGUGUCAGUCAGGGGUGAAAUCCCGGAGCUCAACUUCGGAACUGCCCUUGAUAUAGCACGUCUUGAGUCCGGAAGAGGUGGGUGGAAUUCCUAGUGUAGAGGUGAAAUUCGUAGAUAUUAGGAAGAACACCGGUGGCGAAGGCGGCCCACUGGUCCGGUACUGACGCUGAGGUGCGAAAGCGUGGGGAGCAAACAGG
rnacentral:rRNA from 1 species